GUCUACGGCCAUACCACCCUGAACGCGCCCGAUCUUGUUUGAUCUCGGAAGCUAAGCAGGGACAGGCCUGGUUAGUACUUGGAUGGGAGGAACAAACUGUUCAAAAGAAACGGCAAACU
rnacentral:rRNA from 1 species